rnacentral:tRNA from 1 species
GACCCACUAGCUCAAUUGGAUAGAGUGACAGCCUCCUAAGCUGUAGGUUGCGAGUUCGAUUCCCGCGCGGGUCA